AACGUACGCUGGCGGCACGCCUAACACAUGCAAGUCGAACGCAGUAGCAAUACUGAGUGGCAGACGGGUGAGUAACAUGUGGGAAUCUGCCUUGUGGUUCAGGACAACAUUGGGAAACCGAUGCUAAUACUGGAUAAGCCCUUACGGGGAAAGUUUUAAUGCCAUAAGAUGAGCCCGCAUUUGAUUAGUUAGUUGGUGAGGUAAUGGCUCACCAAGACAAUGAUCAAUAGCUGAUCUGAGAGGAUGAUCAGCCACACUGGGACUGAGACACGGCCCAGACUCCUACGGGAGGCAGCAGUGGGGAAUCUUGCACAAGGGAGGAAACUAUGAUGCAGCGAUGCCGCGUGUGUGAAGAAGGCCUUUGGGUUGUAAAGCUCUUUUGUAGGGGAAGAUAAUGACUGUACCCUAAGAAUAAGGUCCGGCUAACUUCGUGCCAGCCGCCGCCGUAA
rnacentral:rRNA from 1 species